rnacentral:rRNA from 1 species
UCAAGUGAAGAAGCGCAUACGGUGGAUGCCUUGGCAGUCAGAGGCGAUGAAAGACGUGGUAGCCUGCGAAAAGCUUCGGGGAGUCGGCAAACAGACUUUGAUCCGGAGAUGUCUGAAUGGGGGAACCCAGCCAUCAUAAGAUGGUUAUCUUGUACUGAAUACAUAGGUGCAAGAGGCGAACCAGGGGAACUGAAACAUCUAAGUACCCUGAGGAAAAGAAAUCAACCGAGAUUCCCUUAGUAGUGGCGAGCGAACGGGGACUAGCCCUUAAGUGGCUUUGAGAUUAGCGGAACGCUCUGGAAAGUGCGGCCAUAGUGGGUGAUAGCCCUGUACGCGAAAAUCUCUUAGUCAUGAAAUCGAGUAGGACGGAGCACGAGAAACUUUGUCUGAAUAUGGGGGGACCAUCCUCCAAGGCUAAAUACUACUGACUGACCGAUAGUGAACUAGUACCGUGAGGGAAAGGCGAAAAGAACCCCGGAGAGGGGAGUGAAAUAGAUCCUGAAACCGUAUGCGUACAAGCAGUGGGAGCCCACUUUGUUGGGUGACUGCGUACCUUUUGUAUAAUGGGUCAGCGACUUAUUUUCAGUGGCGAGCUUAACCGAAUAGGGGAGGCGUAGCGAAAGCGAGUCUUAAUAGGGCGUCUAGUCGCUGGGAAUAGACCCGAAACCGGGCGAUCUAUCCAUGGGCAGGUUGAAGGUUGGGUAACACUAACUGGAGGACCGAACCGACUACCGUUGAAAAGUUAGCGGAUGACCUGUGGAUCGGAGUGAAAGGCUAAUCAAGCUCGGAGAUAGCUGGUUCUCCUCGAAAGCUAUUUAGGUAGCGCCUCAUGUAUCACUGUAGGGGGUAGAGCACUGUUUCGGCUAGGGGGUCAUCCCGACUUACCAAACCGAUGCAAACUCCGAAUACCUACAAGUGCCGAGCAUGGGAGACACACGGCGGGUGCUAACGUCCGUCGUGAAAAGGGAAACAACCCAGACCGUCAGCUAAGGUCCCAAAGUUAUGGUUAAGUGGGAAACGAUGUGGGAAGGCUUAGACAGCUAGGAGGUUGGCUUAGAAGCAGCCACCCUUUAAAGAAAGCGUAAUAGCUCACUAGUCGAGUCGGCCUGCGCGGAAGAUGUAACGGGGCUCAAACCAUACACCGAAGCUACGGGUAUCACGUAAGUGAUGCGGUAGAGGAGCGUUCUGUAAGCCUGUGAAGGUGAGUUGAGAAGCUUGCUGGAGGUAUCAGAAGUGCGAAUGCUGACAUGAGUAACGACAAUGGGUGUGAAAAACACCCACGCCGAAAGACCAAGGUUUCCUGCGCAACGUUAAUCGACGCAGGGUUAGUCGGUCCCUAAGGCGAGGCUGAAAAGCGUAGUCGAUGGAAAACAGGUUAAUAUUCCUGUACUUCUGGUUAUUGCGAUGGAGGGACGGAGAAGGCUAGGCCAGCUUGGCGUUGGUUGUCCAAGUUUAAGGUGGUAGGCUGGAAUCUUAGGUAAAUCCGGGAUUCUAAGGCCGAGAGCUGAUGACGAGCUAACUUUUAGUUAGCGAAGUGGUUGAUGCCAUGCUUCCAAGAAAAGCUUCUAAGCUUCAGGUAACCAGGAACCGUACCCCAAACCGACACAGGUGGUUGGGUAGAGAAUACCAAGGCGCUUGAGAGAACUCGGGUGAAGGAACUAGGCAAAAUGGCACCGUAACUUCGGGAGAAGGUGCGCCGGUGAGGGUGAAGGACUUGCUCCGUAAGCCCAUGCCGGUCGAAGAUACCAGGCCGCUGCGACUGUUUAUUAAAAACACAGCACUCUGCAAACACGAAAGUGGACGUAUAGGGUGUGACGCCUGCCCGGUGCCGGAAGGUUAAUUGAUGGGGUUAGCUAACGCGAAGCUCUUGAUCGAAGCCCCGGUAAACGGCGGCCGUAACUAUAACGGUCCUAAGGUAGCGAAAUUCCUUGUCGGGUAAGUUCCGACCUGCACGAAUGGCGUAACGAUGGCGGCGCUGUCUCCACCCGAGACUCAGUGAAAUUGAAAUCGCUGUGAAGAUGCAGUGUAUCCGCGGCUAGACGGAAAGACCCCGUGAACCUUUACUAUAGCUUUGCACUGGACUUUGAAUUUGCUUGUGUAGGAUAGGUGGGAGGCUUUGAAGCGUGGACGCCAGUCUGCGUGGAGCCAACCUUGAAAUACCACCCUGGCAACUUUGAGGUUCUAACUCAGGUCCGUUAUCCGGAUCGAGGACAGUGUAUGGUGGGUAGUUUGACUGGGGCGGUCUCCUCCUAAAGAGUAACGGAGGAGUACGAAGGUGCGCUCAGACCGGUCGGAAAUCGGUCGUAGAGUAUAAAGGCAAAAGCGCGCUUGACUGCGAGACAGACACGUCGAGCAGGUACGAAAGUAGGUCUUAGUGAUCCGGUGGUUCUGUAUGGAAGGGCCAUCGCUCAACGGAUAAAAGGUACUCCGGGGAUAACAGGCUGAUACCGCCCAAGAGUUCAUAUCGACGGCGGUGUUUGGCACCUCGAUGUCGGCUCAUCACAUCCUGGGGCUGAAGCCGGUCCCAAGGGUAUGGCUGUUCGCCAUUUAAAGUGGUACGCGAGCUGGGUUUAGAACGUCGUGAGACAGUUCGGUCCCUAUCUGCCGUGGACGUUUGAGAUUUGAGAGGGGCUGCUCCUAGUACGAGAGGACCGGAGUGGACGAACCUCUGGUGUUCCGGUUGUCACGCCAGUGGCAUUGCCGGGUAGCUAUGUUCGGAAUAGAUAACCGCUGAAAGCAUCUAAGCGGGAAACUAGCCUCAAGAUGAGAUCUCACUGGAACCUUGAGUUCCCUGAAGGGCCGUCGAAGACUACGACGUUGAUAGGUUGGGUGUGUAAGCGCUGUGAGGCGUUGAGCUAACCAAUACUAAUUGCCCGUGAGGCUUGACCAU